rnacentral:rRNA from 1 species
UACGGGGGGGGCAAGCGUUGUUCGGAAUUACUGGGCGUAAAGGGCUCGUAGGUGGCCAACUAAGUCGGACGUGAAAUCCCUCGGCUUAACCGGGGAACUGCAUCCGAUACUGGAUGGCUUGAGUUCGGGAGAGGGAUGCGGAAUUCCAGGUGUAGCGGUGAAAUGCGUAGAUAUCAGGAGGAACACCGGUGGUGUAGACGGCUUACUGGACCAUAACUGACGCUGAGACACGAAAGCGUGGGUAGCAAACAGG